ensembl:lncRNA
AGAUCUGAGGAGCAAGCCUUAUUUGAUGGCAUCUUCAUUGCUAAAGAUGAUGAAUUUUCCAUGUUGUAGGUCUCUGGAAGAGGUGUCUGUGGAGGGGAGUAGUCAGCAGCCAGAGAAACAUCUCAGAGAUCCAGGAGUAAAAUUGAUGAGGAGGGACUUCAGCUUGCGAACAAGCUGGCAAAUAAGCCAAUAACCUUUUUUGCCAUGGAUGUUACAUGCAAGUACUGGCCCUACCUCAACAAAGUGGCAAAAAGCUGCCCGGAGCUCCAGCACCUUCUUGACAUGAAGCCAUUCCUGUCAGUGUUUCAUGCUAAAGCCCAUGACUUUAAAUGCGAGGUUAAAUGGAGUGGAGCUUACCAGCAAGGGGCUGGAUUGACACUUGGGGAGGAGGUUGAGCAGUGCAACGCCUUCCUCUCUAGGAUUGCUGUGACGACAAAACAUAUGUCCAAAGCAGGUCGUACAGACAUGCUUACACUGAUGGCCAUGCGCUGGAAUCAGCAAAAUUUAAUAACUUGGCUACUUCACUUGCCCGCCGAUAUCAGAAGGCCACAAAAGGGCUGGAAAGCCGGCUUCAGGACCUGGAGGUCAUGAGAGUCCAACUGGCAGUGACACAGGUUGAAGUUGAGGGCUGGGUUACUGAUGUAAAAGAGUGGGCAGAAGCAACAACAUCCCAAAAGAAUGCAGAUCUGGACGCGGUGACUAGUAGAUUGGAGGUGCUGGUGGCCAGCAUUAAAAGAAGGUCCCAGCGCCUUUACAAAGACACCGAUGGCAGCAAAGGUCGGGCCCGGAUUCGGCGCAAAAUCAGAGAGGAGAUGGCCAUUCUUGGCUCUGUUGCUGACAAAUACAACAGCAUGGUUCCAGAUGCAGAGAGAAUCAACUUUGACAGCAUUCUCUCUGAGGGGACAGUUUGGCCGUGGCAACUUUCCCAUGGUGACAAAUGUAGAUUUGAAAACCAAGAGGAAGGCGUUUGACGUUGUGAUGGCAAUAAGGAGACUUGAGGAGGAGAGGAAGAUUGUCAUUGCCGAGAUGGCAAAGCAUUGGAAAUCUCUCUCCACUCGUGCAGACACGCUCAAGGAGAUGUCAUGCCGGUUUUCCAGUGAGCCAUUGCAAAGUGAGCUGUGGGGUCUAAAUGAAGAAGGGAUCAAGGGUCUCCGCAGCUUAACCUUGAAAAAGAAGCAAGCAGUCACAACAAUGAUGAAGCAUGCGAGAGACUGUUACGCUCAAGUUUUGAGAGGAACCAGUAUGGACUUCCAGAGGGACUGGGAUGGAUACGACAGUGACUCUGAAAUGUCAGACGAGUGAACUUGGCUUUCAUCGCUCCUGAUAUCCUGACGCGACUAGAAAAAUUGAUGAACUGCUCAACUUUGCUUCUCGCAUACUUCAUUUUCUUUUUUUAAUUAAAAAAAUUGGAAAUACUGUCUAGGUGGCAUCCACACACAACGUGUACUGUAAACAUGGGGGUUGUCAAUGUCAUCAAUAUUCAGUCUUUAAUCAUCCAGUAUCCAAUAUGAUUGCAGACCUUUUUGUAUCAUGAAUGACACCUUUUAAUGUAUUUAACCAACCCACUGUUUCUCUUCUACAUGUAUGCAAUAUACGAUGAUGUAUCAUGGCUGAAGAGCAAGUAUAAUAUACUUUGGAAGUGAACCAAGCUGCACUGAUUCAUUGCUAUUUGUACUGUUUUUAUUGAUGCUAUUAUGAACUUACACUCCAUAAACAAACUGAAAGCUGCCACACAGACCGACAUCAUUUUUAUCCCUGUCAUGUAUAAGCAUAUCUUUAUGAGUACAUAAUGUUCCCAUGUAUUAUAUCAUGUGCUGAAAUGAAAUAAACAUUGAUAAACAAAA